rnacentral:rRNA from 1 species
GGAGGGUGCAAGCGUUAUUCGGAAUCACUGGGCGUAAAGAGCGCGUAGGCGGUUUCUAAAGUCAGAUGUGAAAGCCCGGGGCUCAACCUCGGAAGUGCAUUUGAAACUUAGGGACUUGAGUAUGGGAGAGGGAAGUGGAAUUCCUGGUGUAGCGGUGAAAUGCGUAGAUAUCAGGAGGAACACCGGUGGCGAAGGCGACUUCCUGGACCAAUACUGACGCUGAGGCGCGAAGGCGUGGGGAGCAAACAGGGAUUAGAUACCCUGGUAGUCCACGCAGUAAACGUUGAACACUAGGUGUAGCGGGUAUUGACCCCCUGCUGUGCCGCAGCUAACGCAUUAAGUGUUCCGCCUGGGGAGUACGGCCGCAAGGCUA